GAGGGUGUAGCUCAGUGGUAAAGUGCAUGCCUAGCAUGCACGAGGUCCUGGGUUCAAUCCCCACUACCACUA
rnacentral:tRNA from 1 species